GGAUUGAGGGUGAGCUGUCUGUGUCACCUGUCAUGCCAGAGUUUAGACUAGUCGGCCAGGCUGGAUGGGUGGCCCCUUCCUCCCUUACUGCUCCAUGUGCAUCCUUCCUGAAGGUGUGUAAUCUGCCAAAGAGGACAAUCUUCCUAGAAUAGAGGGUGAUCCAACUUUGGUCAAGGGUAUAUGAGUAGAUUUACCAAGCUCUCAAAGAGCACACCACCUCAGACAGGACUGGACACACUCUCUGAACUAUAGAUAGACUAUUAUGCAUAGCAUGCUAAAGGUUAAUCUGUCACAGAACUAUGUGUGACUUUGUUUUCAAGUGUGUUUUCCCUU
rnacentral:snRNA from 1 species